rnacentral:rRNA from 1 species
AACGAACGCUGGCGGCAUGCCUAACACAUGCAAGUCGAACGAGACCUCCGGGCCUUGUGGCGCACGGGUGGGUAACGCGUGGGAACCUGCCCUUAGGUUCCGAGUAACUCCCUGAGGGGGAUCCUAAGACCGGAUGGUCUCUUCGGAGCAAAGAUUUAUCGCUUUUGGAUGGGCGCGCGUUGGUUUAGGUGGUUGGUAGGGUAAAAGCCUGCCAACGCGACGAUCCAGAGCUGGUCUGAGACGAUGCUCCGCCGCACUGGGACUGAGACACGGACCGGACUCGUACGCGGGGGAGCAGUGUGGAGUAUUGUACGCUGGGGGAAAGUCUGAUCCAGCCGCGCGCGGUGAGUGGUGAAGGCCUUAGGGUUGUAAAGCCCCUUUAGCCGGGACGAUACUGACAGUACCGGGAGAAGAAGCUCCGGCUAACUCCGUG